CCUACGGGAGGCAGCAGUGGGGAAUAUUGCGCAAUGGGCGAAAGCCUGACGCAGCAAUGCCGCGUGAGUGAGGAAGGCCUUCGGGUUGUAAAGCUCUGUCAUAUGGAAAGAAUGGUUGUUACUCUAACAGGGUGGCAAUUUGACGGUACCAUAAAAGGAAGCACCGGCUAACUUCGUGCCAGCAGCCGCGGUAAU
rnacentral:rRNA from 1 species